rnacentral:rRNA from 1 species
CCUGGCGGCCAUAGCGCCGUGGAACCACCUGAUCCCAUGCCGAACUCAGAAGUGAAACGCGGUAGCGCCGAUGGUAGUGUGGCAUUCGCCAUGCGAGAGUAGGACACUGCCGGGC